GACGAACGCUGGCGGCGUGCCUAACACAUGCAAGUCGAACGGAGAUACGAUUUCGGUUGUAUCUUAGUGGCGAACGGGUGAGUAACGCGUGAGCAACCUGACCUUCAGAGGGGGAUAACAUUUGGAAACAGAUGCUAAUACCGCAUAAGACAACGACACGACAUCGGGAUGAGGUCAAAGGAGAAAUCCGCUGGAGGCUAGGGGCUCGCGUCCCAUUAGAUAGAUGGCGGGGUAAGGGCCCACCAUGUCGACGAUGGGUAGCCGAGCUGAGCGGCGGAUCGGCAAAACUUGAACUGAGACCCGGUCCAGACUGCUACGGGAGGCAGCAGUGGGGAAUAUUGGGCAAUGGGCGAAAGCCUGACCCAGCAGCGCCGCGUGAGGGAAGAAGGCUUUCGGGUUGUAAACCUCUGUCCUUGGUGACGAAACAAAUGACGGUAGCCAAGGAGGAAGCCCCGGCUAACUACGUGCCAGCCGCCGCGGUAAAAC
rnacentral:rRNA from 1 species